rnacentral:rRNA from 1 species
AACGAACGCUGGCGGCAUGCCUAACACAUGCAAGUCGAACGAGACCUUCGGGUCUAGUGGCGCACGGGUGCGUAACGCGUGGGAACCUGCCCUUAGGUUCGGAAUAACUCCCCGAAAGGGGUGCUAAUACCGGAUAAUGUCUUCGGACCAAAGAUUUAUCGCCUUUGGAUGGGCCCGCGUUGGAUUAGCUAGUUGGUAGGGUAAAAGCCUACCAAGGCGACGAUCCAUAGCUGGUCUGAGAGGAUGAUCAGCCACACUGGGACUGAGACACGGCCCAGACUCCUACGGGAGGCAGCAGUGGGGAAUAUUGGACAAUGGGCGAAAGCCUGAUCCAGCAAUGUCGCGUGAGUGAUGAAGGCCUUAGGGUUGUAAAGCUCUUUUACCCGGGAUGAUAAUGACAGUACCGGGAGAAUAAGCGCCGGCUAACUCCGUG